AUUGAACGCUGGCGGCAGGCCUAACACAUGCAAGUCGAACGAGUGGCGGACGGGUGAGUAAUGUCUGGGAAACUGCCUGAUGGAGGGGGAUAACUACUGGAAACGGUAGCUAAUACCGCAUACAAUCGGUUGUGCCCAGAUGGGAGUAGCUAGACGGUGGGGUAACGGCUAACCAAGGCGACGAUCCUUACCUGGUCUGAGAGGAUGACCAGCCACACUGGAACUGAGACACGGUCCAGACUCCUACGGGAGGCAGCCGUGGGGAAUAUUGCACAAUGGGCGCAGGCCUGAUGCAGCCAUGCCGCGUGUAUGAAGAAGGCCUUCGGGUUGUAAAGUACUUUCAGCGGGGAGGCGUUACCCGCAGAAGAAGCACCGGCUAACUCCGUGCCAGCAGCCGCGGUAAUUC
rnacentral:rRNA from 1 species